CGGAGAGUGAAAUAGAACCUGAAACCGUAUGCCUACAAGCGGUCGGAGCUCCGCCUUGUGCGGGGUGACGGCGUGCCUUUUGCAUAAUGAGCCAGCGAGUUGCUCGUAUGUUGCAAGGUUAAGGCCAAAAAGCCGGAGCCGUAGCGAAAGCGAGUCUGAAUAGGGCGUUCAGUAACAUGCGGCAGACCCGAAACCGAGUGAUCUAGCCAUGGCCAGGUUGAAGGUGCGGUAACACGCACUGGAGGACCGAACCCACCAGCGUUGAAAAGCUGGGGGAUGAGCUGUGGUUAGGGGUGAAAGGCCAAUCAAACUCGGAGAUAUCUGGUUCUCGCCGAAAUGUCUUUAGGGACAGCGUUAAAGUAGUGUAUCGGGGGUAGAGCACUGAAUGGACUAGGGGGCCUACAAGCUUACCAAACCCAAUUAAACUCCGAAUACCGAAUACAUGAUCUUUAGCAGUGAGGCUAGGGGGGAUAAGCUUCUUAGCCGAGAGGGAAACAACCCAGACCAACAUCUAAGGUCCCCAAAUUUAUACUAAGUGAUUUAAGGAUGUCAAAUCGCCCAGACAGCUAGGAGGUUGGCUUAGAAGCAGCAAUCCUUUAAAGAAAGCGUAACAGCUCACUAGUCAAGGGGUUUGGCGCCGAUAAUAUCCGGGACUAUAAAGUAUAAUACCGAAGAUUUGGAUUUAGUAAUAAGUGGUAGGCGAGCGUUCUAUUAACCGUUGAAGGUUGACUCGUGAGAGCAGCUGGAGGAGAUAGAAGUGAGCAUGCUGGCAUGAGUAGCGAUAAACACAGUAAAAUUCUGUGUCACCGAAAACCCAAGGGUUCCUGAGUAAAGCAAAUCUGCUCAGGGUUAGUCGGACCCUAAGCCGAGGCUGAAAAGCGUAGGCGAUGGAAAACGGGCUUAAUAUUCCCGUACCAGUUUUUAUUUGUUUGAACUAUGGGGUAACGUAGGAGUGAAAGAUCAGCCAGGUUUUGAUUGUCCUGGUUUAAGUGCGUAGGAAGUUUCGAUAGGCAAAUCCGUUGAAACAAUUCCGAGACACGAAUAGGAGGGCCUAGCCCACAAACUGAUCCUAAUCAUAUUACCAAGAAAAACCUCUAUGUUAGAAUAGAAACUGACCGUACUCUAAACGGACACACGUGGGUGGGGAGAGUAUCCUAAGGUGCUUGAGUGAUUCUAGGUUAAGGAACUAGGCAAAUUUGCCCCGUAACUUAGGGAGAAGGGGUGCCUUUUUAUGUGAAACCAUUUACUGGUUGAGCUAAAAAAGGCCGCAGUGAAAAGGCGCGAGCGACUGUUUAUCAAAAACACAGGUCUCUGCUAAGUCGUAAGACGAAAUAUAGGGACUGACACCUGCCCGGUGCCGGAAGGUUAAAUGGAGAUGUUAAUUUGCUUCGGCAAAUGAAGCUUUGAAAUGAAGCCCCGGUAAACGGCGGCCGUAACUAUAACGGUCCUAAGGUAGCGAAAUUCCUUGUCGGGUAAGUUCCGACCUGCACGAAUGGUGUAACGACUUGCGCACUGUCUCAACCUAGAGCUCAGCGAAAUUGAAGUGUCGGUGAAGAUGCCGGCUACCCGCAGCAGGACGA
rnacentral:rRNA from 1 species